UACGGAGGGGGCUAGCGUUGUCCGGAAUCAUUGGGCGUAAAGCGCGUGUAGGCGGUUCGGUAAGUCCGCUGUGAAAGUCGGGGGCUCAACCCUCGGAUGCCGGUGGAUACUGUCGGACUAGAGUACGGAAGAGGCGAGUGGAAUUCCUGGUGUAGCGGUGAAAUGCGCAGAUAUCAGGAGGAACACCGAUUGCGAAGGCAGCUCGCUGGGACGUUACUGACGCUGAGACGCGAAAGCGUGGGGAGCAAACAGG
rnacentral:rRNA from 1 species